UACGGAGGGUGCAAGCGUUGUUCGGAUUUACUGGGCGUAAAGCGUGCGCAGGCGGUUCGUUGUGUCGGUGGUGAAAUCCCCGGGCUUAACCUGGGAAUGGCCAUGGAAACUGGCGAACUGGAGUGCGGCAGAGGGGGGUGGAAUUCCGCGUGUAGCAGUGAAAUGCGUAGAGAUGCGGAGGAACACCGAUGGCGAAGGCAGCCCCCUGGGCUAGCACUGACGCUCAGGCACGAAAGCGUGGGGAGCAAACAGG
rnacentral:rRNA from 1 species